UCCUAGCCCAGAUUAAAGUGAAAAUCCUUUUUAUUUUUUCUUUAAAAAUAAAAAGAUUACUUCACCAUACUUCUAUCUUUUUUGGUGUUCAGUGAAUUUAUUUACAACGGAAAGCUGGAAAUAGC
rnacentral:misc_RNA from 1 species